ncrna:Salinispora pacifica CNT854 L31-Actinobacteria ribosomal protein leader
CCGGUUCCGGUUCACGCCCAAUCCGUUGCACACGCGGCUGGGCGACCCGGCGACC